AGAAUCAUCUGGCAGACAGGCCUCUGGUGAGAAGACACACCUGAACCCCACCAUUUCAAUGGCCGGGCCCUGGACUGAAUGAGGAGGAGAGAAGGAGCUGAGUACCAUGGGCCACAUUUAUCUCUUGCUCUCUGCUUCUCUGUGUGGAUACAACGUGACUAGCUUCCAGUUUCUGCUGCCUUGAUUUUUUACAACAGAUGAUACAGAGAAGACAUCCUUUGCUGAGAGAUUUGCUGUUCGUCCACUCUCUGAGAUGCUACAGACAAGGCCGUUCCCCAGUCUCUCAAUGAGUUAUGUAUGGCCCUGCACACACGGGAACAUCCCGCUGACUCUCAUGGAUGAAGACCGUGAGGCUGAGUGGUACAAAUGAAGCUUAGGUCCAUCAGAACCAGGCUCUCGUCUGGUCUGAAACUUGGACUGGCCAAUUCUGAUUCUGGGCUAUACAAGACAUGCUGGAGAGCUUAGCAGGGGAGUACGCUGGUGUCCCAUUGAUGCUCAGUGGCAAUAAACCAAGUGACCAAGGUGGCUUAGCAACCCAUAUA